CCCUGUCCCAAGUGCCCCCCAGUCCUGAUUAAGUCAACCCAAACCGAUGCGAACAGGAAAAUAAAGAACCCUCGACCCUGCCCCCAAUCCAUCUUCCACGCCGCCGCGUGCCGCCUUCGCUGCCACGCCGCCGCGCGCCGUCAACCCCGUCGGCGCCCCCCCCCCCCCCCCCCCCCUGUCCCAAGUGCCCCCAUCCCCGCGGCCUUCCACCGCCGACGACACUCGAUGUUGCAGCCGUUGCCGGCUUCCCCCGUCCCUGCUACCACGGCGCCGCCGGGACUCCUCCCCACUGCUUCCACCUCGGCAAUGGUUCCCCCAACCCCGCCGGCUUCGCCAUCCCGGCGCGCUCCACCACCCGUUGGACCCAUCCGCCUGGCUCCCCCACCCGCAUAUCAUCUCCAACCCAGCGCCCACUCAGAUGCGGCGGCCGCCGCCACUCAACCGCAGGGCCUGCUGAACACGUGCUCCCGUCGCCGCCUCCUCAGCCUAAAAAGCCACACCGAGGACUAUUCCUCGGAGCCUCCUCCUGCUCAUGGUUCACCGGCCCCGCGCCUCCCUUGCGGUGGCGACACGGCUGAGGGCGCAGCCAGCAAGGGUGUCGUCUAGGGGUGGCGGGGAAGUUGCUGGCGGGCGAGCUCUGCCUGUUGACGCGUGGAUGGGAGGGGUCCAGGAGCCACCACGACAACCAGGAGAGUCUUCCUAGAGAGCGAGGACUCGCGCGACAGCAGCGGCGACGAGCCCGACGGUCUUGCCGACCUCACCCACCUCGCCAAUAAGUUCUAGGUAUGAACGUUGUGCACCCCCUUCUGCCCACCCCUUGCUGUUGCAGGCUUCCACCAUCUGCUGGUGUGACUUUCUUUUGUGUUCACGACCAUACUUUUCCCCAAAUUGUGUUCGGCAGCUUGGCAGGUUGGAUAGGUAACUGGUUACUACCAUAUAAAUUAUUACUGCUUCUGAACCUCUGAUCGGUGUAGGUUGGAGGAACAUCUCUGAAUCACAUGUAUAGCAACUACUGAAUUUGCUGUUACUUCUUCCAAGUAAAUUAUUGGUUAGCAAUUAUGAUGUUCUAGCCUGUUAGAAUCACAACGCAUGAUAACACAACCAAAAAUUUGAUAUGUCUGGCAUGUUUGAUCUGAUUUUACUCCAUGACCACAGCGCAUAACAAAAAUCUAUGAUAACCUCUUGCUGACACCUUGCCAUGUGCGCCAUUAUCAAGCCUGAUUCAAAGAAGGCGGUCAGUUUUCUAUUUUGCUCAUUUAUUUUACCCAGAAUAGUAAUUGGGUUAACUUAACUUACUGUGUCGGUUUAUGCUGGAGAUGACAUUUCGUGCCUUUCAUUUUAGAUGUACACAAGCAAGCAAACUGCAGACAAGAAGGAAAAUAAGUUUCUCUCCGUGGUUCACUUGCUGUUGUUCUCUGUCCACGAGACAGAGCUUCAGUCUCUCAUAACUCGUAAUAGGUCGAUGUACUAUCACCUGCAUCCGUCAUCUACUCGUGGAGCUCUGGAGAUACUUCAGAUACGACACAGUGGCCUACGUGUCCAAAUGUCAGGGUUAUAUUCAACAAUUGUAGAAAGCUGUAGAAAAUAUAAUACACAAUUUUUUCUUGCAUAUAUAGAUUUACUUGAUAUUUUUAGUAAUCAAAUAAUUUGGUAUUCAGUGUUUACUUGAAUAUUUUAUAUUGAUUUCUAGCAAUGUUCAGUAACAGAGCAAUGGACCGAGAGACAUUCUCAGUGUGCUGUAGUUUCCAUGCUGUGUUAUCAGGAGGGAGACCCGGCGUCCAAGUCACGGACAAUAUGUCGAGCCGUGGCACCAUCCAGCUACAAGAGUCGGCCGCCCAGGACGGCAAUGUCGGCAAGAUACUCCACGUAAUUCUGACCUCCCCAUCCUCUUGUUUGAUCCUUCUUGCUAUGCUUUUUUAGCUGCUGAUGGUUGGCGUACCAUGUUGUGCGUAGAGGACAGAGGACAGGGGGAAAGAGUACGACAAUAUUGUGAGAUCAAGAGUUAUGAUUUGUGAGGGAACAAAUAAUUUUCUUGAUCUUUGUGUUGACGAGAUGGCGGCUUUCCUAGGGUAGCAUUGUGUCCGAUGGGGGCAGGGUUGCACCAUGGGGAACUGUGAAUGCCAUUUGGGUUGAAAGAACACAAUCAAUGAUGGAUUGACACAGACCUUUGUGGAGUUAAAACAUGAAAAAUAUUGAUAUUUUUCUAAUACAAUUCCAGCAUGAUGAUGUAUCUUUCACCUUUACAAUUUUUUGCAUAAAAAGGCAGGGGCAUUGAUGAUGGGCAGGAAUGGUGGUUGCGCUGUAGUGAAACAUGAGUGUUGUGGAUGGUCCCUAUAGACGAUACAGGAUGACGCCAAGUUGCCAACCAUCAUUACAAGUUUGCCGAAAUAGAAAUACGAAGAGAAGUGGCAAUACAGAUAAACCGCUAGAAAGUAUGAGCUCCUGAAUGUCCUGGAAUUUAGUAGCUCAUGAAAAUGGAUGUGCCUUUUAGUGAAGGAACCAGAGGGGAGGAUACCUGUUAAAGAAUUUGAGGAAGAGACUGGAAGUCUGUUUUAUCCAUGUGUACCGGCUAGAAGAUAAUUCGAGGAAGAGAUUAAAAGGCACAUAAAUCAAUAUUCUGAUUCUGGUGUAAGAACUUUGGUUCUUGUAUACCUUGUCUUACAUGAGAAAGAGUAUGCGGUUGAUGAAUACUUCAGCACUGCCAAACCAUCUGGACGUGCACAGGCAGGAUAAUCUAUGGCAUUCUGCCAUUUUAUACAAUCAUGUUUGCUUCAUGCAUGAUCAAUCUACAUCAUUUUUCCCA